UCCUACGGGAGGCAGCAGUCGGGAAUAUUGCGCAAUGGAGGAAACUCUGACGCAGUGACGCCGCGUGCAGGAAGAAGGUUUUCGGAUUGUAAACUGCUUUAGACAGGGAAGAUAAUGACAGUACCUGUAGAAUAAGCUCCGGCUAACUACGUGCCAGCAGCCGCGGUAAUACGUAGGGAGCAAGCGUUAUCCGGAAUUACUGGGUGUAAAGGGAGAGUAGGCGGCAAGGUAAGCGAUAUGUGAAAGCCUUAGGCUUAACCAAAGGAUUGCAUAACGAACUAUCUAGCUAGAGGACAGGAGAGGAA
rnacentral:rRNA from 1 species